GAGUAGCAAUAUUUCGGAAGUUGAGUGGCGAACGGGUGCGUAACACGUGGGAAUCUUCCCGGAAGUGGGGAAUAGCUUGCCGAAAGGCAAAUUAAUACCGCAUGUGGCCGCAAGGCUAAAGCGGGGGACCGCAAGGCCUCGCGCUUCCGGAUGAGCCCGCGUCCUAUCAGCUAGUUGGUGAGGUAACGGCUCACCAAGGCGAUGACGGGUAGCUGGUCUGAGAGGACGACCAGCCACACUGGGACUGAGACACGGCCCAGACACCUACGGGUGGCAGCAGUCGAGAAUCUUUCACAAUGGGGGCAACCCUGAUGGAGCGACGCCGCGUGGAGGAUGAAGGCCUUCGGGUCGUAAACUCCUGUCACCACAGAACAAGGGUUGCCGGUUAAUAGCCGUGCAACCUUGAUGGUAUGUGGAGAGGAAGGGACGGCUAACUCUGUGCCAGCAGCCGCGGUAAUACAGAGGUCCCAAGCGUUGUUCGGAUUUACUGGGCGUAAAGGGUGCGUAGGGGGCUUGGCAAGUCAGAUGUGAAAUCUCACCGCCUAACGGUGAAACUGCAUUUGAUACUGCCGAGCUAGAGGAUCGGAGAGGAGAACGGAAUUCCUGGUGUAGCGGUGAAAUGCGUAGAUAUCAGGAGGAACAUCAAUUGCGAAGGCAGUUCUCUGGACGGUUCCUGACCCUGAGGCACGAAGGCCAGGGGAGCAAACGGGAUUAGAUACCCCGGUAGUCCUGGCAGUAAACGUUGCUCAUUAGGUGUAGGCGGAUUCGACCCCGUCUGUGCCGGACCUAACGGAUUAAAUGAGCCGCCUGGGGAGUACGGUCGCAAGAUUAAAACUCAAAGAAAUUGACGGGGGCCCGCACAAGCGGUGGAGUAUGUGGCUUAAUUCGAUGCAACGCGAAGAACCUUACCU
rnacentral:rRNA from 1 species